rnacentral:rRNA from 1 species
GUGGGGAAUAUUGCACAAUGGGCGCAAGCCUGAUGCAGCGACGCCGCGUGAGGGAUGGAGGCCUUCGGGUUGUAAACCUCUUUUGUUUGGGAGCAAGCCUUCGGGUGAGUCUACCUUUCGAAUAAGCGCCGGCUAACUACGUGCCAGCAGCCGCGGUAAUACGUAGGGCGCAAGCGUUAUCCGGAUUUAUUGGGCGUAAAGGGCUCGUAGGCGGCUCGUCGCGUCCGGUGUGAAAGUCCAUCGCUUAACGGUGGAUCUGCGCCGGGUACGGGCGGGCUGGAGUGCGGUAGGGGAGACUGGAAUUCCCGGUGUAACGGUGGAAUGUGUAGAUAUCGGGAAGAACACCGAUGGCGAAGGCAGGUCUCUGGGCCGUCACUGACGCUGAGGAGCGAAAGCGUGGGGAGCGAACAGGAUUAGAAACCCUGGUAGUCC